rnacentral:lncRNA from 11 species
AGGGUAAUUGAAAAAGUCUUAUCUGUUUGUCUCUCCAAGUUUCCAUCUCUUUUUAUAUUAUUACAGAUGGCUUUAAAAGAAAAUGAGGUUGGUUCAAAGAGGAAAAUCUACAGUGGCUCCUCAUGAUGGCUAUAUAACCACCAGAACUGGAUGAGAUCCUCAAGAAGGAAAAAACCCAAAUAGUAUGAGUAAAUCUUAAAAACCUAUGUUUAAAAAGUGAACACCUUCACCUUGACUUUAAAAACAAAACUAAACAUUGCCU